CCUACGGGUGGCAGCAGUGGGGAAUAUUGCACAAUGGGGGAAACCCUGAUGCAGCCACGCCGCGUGAAGGAAGAAGUAUUUCGGUAUGUAAACUUCUAUCAGCAGGGAAGAAAAGGACGGUACCUGACUAAGAAGCCCUGGAUAACUACGUGCCAGCAGCCGCGGUAAAACGUAGGGGACGAGGGUUAUCCGGAUUUACUGGGUGUAAAGCGAGCGUAGGCGGUUUAGCAAGUCAGAAGUGAAAGCCCCGGGCUCAACUCGGGAACUGCUUUUGAAACUGUUGCACUAGAUUGCAGGAGAGGUAAGUGGAAGUCCUAGUGUAGCGGUGAAAUGCGUAGAGAUCAGGAGGAACACCAGUGGCGAAGGCGGCUUACUGGACUGUAAAUGACGCUGAGGCUCGAAAGCGUGGGGAGCAAACAGGAUUAGAUACCCGUGUAGUC
rnacentral:rRNA from 1 species